GUCGCGGUAGCCUAGAAGGUAGAGGUGCGCUACUAUUGAUAGCGAAAGUCGCUACUUCAAAUCCUGCCUGCGGUA